rnacentral:rRNA from 1 species
GGUGGGGAUUAGUGGCGAACGGGUGAGUAACACGUGGGCAAUCUGCCCUGCACUCUGGGACAAGCCCUGGAAACGGGGUCUAAUACCGGAUACUGAUCGCCUUGGGCAUCCUUGGUGAUCGAAAGCUCCGGCGGUGCAGGAUGAGCCCGCGGCCUAUCAGCUUGUUGGUGAGGUAAUGGCUCACCAAGGCGACGACGGGUAGCCGGCCUGAGAGGGCGACCGGCCACACUGGGACUGAGACACGGCCCAGACUCCUACGGGAGGCAGCAGUGGGGAAUAUUGCACAAUGGGCGAAAGCCUGAUGCAGCGACGCCGCGUGAGGGAUGACGGCCUUCGGGUUGUAAACCUCUUUCAGCAGGGAAGAAGCGAAAGUGACGGUACCUGCAGAAGAAGCGCCGGCUAACUACGUGCCAGCAGCCGCGGUAAUACGUAGGGCGCGAGCGUUGUCCGGAAUUAUUGGGCGUAAAGAGCUCGUAGGCGGCUUGUCGCGUCGGUUGUGAAAGCCCGGGGCUUAACCCCGGGUCUGCAGUCGAUACGGGCAGGCUAGAGUUCGGUAGGGGAGAUCGGAAUUCCUGGUGUAGCGGUGAAAUGCGCAGAUAUCAGGAGGAACACCGGUGGCGAAGGCGGAUCUCUGGGCCGAUACUGACGCUGAGGAGCGAAAGCGUGGGGAGCGAACAGGAUUAGAUACCCUGGUAGUCCACGCCGUAAACGGUGGGCACUAGGUGUGGGCGACAUUCCACGUCGUCCGUGCCGCAGCUAACGCAUUAAGUGCCCCGCCUGGGGAGUACGGCCGCAAGGCUA